rnacentral:rRNA from 1 species
ACGGGGCCCGCACAAGCGGUGGAGCAUGUGGUUAAUUCGAAGCAACGCGAAGAACCUUACCAGGGCUUGACAUCCCCUGACCGCGUAUGAAAGUACGUUUUCACCCUCGGGUGACAGGGAGACAGGUGGUGCAUGGUUGUCGUCAGCUCGUGUCGUGAGAUGUUGGGUUAAGUCCCGCAACGAGCGCAACCCCUACGUUUAGUUGCUAACAGGUGAAGCUGAGCACUCUAGACGAACUGCCGUUGACAAAACGGAGGAAGGCGGGAUGACGUCAAAUCAUCAUGCCCCUUAUGUUCUGGGCUACACACGUGCUACAAUGGCCGGUACAGACGGAGGCGAAGCCGCGAGGCGGAGCAAAUCCGAAAAAGCCGGUCUCAGUUCGGAUUGCAGGCUGCAAUUCGCCUGCAUGAAGUCGGAAUCGCUAGUAAUCGCAGGUCAGCAUACUGCGGUGAAUACGUUCCCGGGCCUU